GAGGGGAGAUGCAGAGGUCAGAAGGUCAGUCCAGUCUCAGGGACUGGCUGGCAGAGAAAGAAUAUCGUCAAGGGGAUGAUCAUGAAGAAAGGCCACCUCCCUCGGAGUGUCCCACGUCCCAUCAGGUAUAUCCAAUCCAUGCCCUCCCCGGGGUUGCAUGCAUUCCUGGACAGCUAUGAAUAUAGUCUGACAUCAUAGAUGAUACAGUCUCUCUCAGGGCAUGAUAUUGAACACUUCUGCCAGCAGUCUGUGUGAGGCGUCCUGCUUUGACAUUUAGGUUUUGUGUAAUUUGGACCCAUGUAUCCUUGACUCAAUUGAUUUAGCCAACAGCCACGAAAGGCUUAUUAUUAUUUCACACAUUUUACCAACGGGAAAAAAACCUGCUCGGACUGGCUCAGCUAAGUUAAUUAACCUGUCUGAGGUCAUACCACUAGCAAGGAACAGAGGCAGGAUUUGAACUCAGACCCUGAGCUCUUGAAUUAGGAUGCCCUUUCCCCUUCCCUACCCAGCAGGACUAAUUCAGUACAGCAGGGGAUUAGGCUGUGGAGUCUUGGGACUGGACCUCUGUGCCCUUAGGCAGAGGGAAGGGUGCAGGUCAACAUGUGAGCCUCCGAACAUAAACAUCCCACUGAUCUUUUUAAAAGUGUGCUUGGCCCUCGGCAGGUAAUUGGAGACAUUGCUCCUGGCCCCGCUCUUCUAUGAUCCAGGAGGAAAACCGAGAAUUCAGAAAUCACAGGGGUGGGUCUUCUGGUCCCACGCUUGCCUGCCUGCCCGCCCGCUGGGCUGGGUGUGUGUCAUUGAGACGCCAAGUGUGAUGCAUGAGGACACAGCACAGGUACCCUGGGUGCCUUGAGGGAAGCUUUGAGCCUGCCCAAUCAGUGAUGAGCAUCCAUGCUCACCUGUGACAAUGCUUGGCUGUGUGUCUCCAGUACCAGGGUUAAAAAAUGCUGUUGGGGUUGGGGAUUUAGCUCAGUGGUAGAGCUCUUGCCUAGCAAGCUCAAGACCCUGGGUUCGGUCCCCAGCUCCAAAAAAAAAAAUGCUGUUGGCAUCCCUACCCCAAAGCUUACCAUUUCAUUGGUAUGGUGCAUGGACGGGGAUACCCCAGUUAGUCCCCCACGCCAGUCCCCCCUCUAAUCUAUUACUGUGACGUGCUUAGACCUAGGCUCGCCAGACCAGCACACCUAUAUGUACCGGGAGUUCAGACUAUGGCUUCUAGGGCCUUAGUUUCUCCUUCACCCAGGGUCCCCUCCCUAACCAUGAAGACACAUGUCCUACAGAGGCAGAAACUGUCAACUCCUAACACCAUGGCCUCUUCUUCCUAUCCUCCAUCCACCUGCUCCUCCCGGACCUCCUGUUUUUCCAGAGGUGAGAGCUGGAGUGGAUUGGAUUCUGGCACCAGUUUGUUUGUUUUUGUUUUUUGGUGUCUCAGGCUCCAGUCAAAUUUGAGGAUUGCUGUGUUGACUGAAGGCAGCCCUGGGCUCUUCUACCCCAUCACAGACAGAGUCACCGGGGACUUGGCGAGCCACCAGGAUACUCCCUACCUCCCACUCUCCCAGGUCAUGGGAGACCCCUUGGGACACGCGUGCGUCUCUGGGACCUGAUUCCGCUGCUGCGGCACACCUAGAUAUACCCACCCAUAGAUCCCAGCCACCAUGUCGUGAGGAAACUCAACUGAGUGUGCAUCGGAACACCUUGCUGGAGGAGCCUCGAGGCUCCCAGGUGCUUACCACCAACACUGGAUUCCUGAAUGAAACCUGUGAAUUCACUGACAGCAUUUGUGUCGACCACGGAGAUCUCGGUUACCACCAUGCAGGACUGGCUGUGUUUUGUCCCCAAUGUGCCCUGUCCAGACUCCAGACUCACGGACCACGUGAGCAUUAAAAUAUUUCUCUGCA
rnacentral:sRNA from 1 species